GACUCGUCACACUAUCAUUAACUGAAUCCAUAGGUUAAUGAGGCGAACCGGGGGAACUGAAACAUCUAAGUACCCCGAGGAAAAGAAAUCAACCGAGAUUCCCCCAGUAGCGGCGAGCGAACGGGGAGGAGCCCAGAGCCUGAAUCAGCAUGUGUGUUAGUGGAAGCGUCUGGAAAGGCGCGCGAUACAGGGUGACAGCCCCGUACACAAAAGCGCAUGUGCUGUGAGCUCGAUGAGUAGGGCGGGACACGUGGUAUCCUGUCUGAAUAUGGGGGGACCAUCCUCCAAGGCUAAAUACUCCUGACUGACCGAUAGUGAACCAGUACCGUGAGGGAAAGGCGAAAAGAACCCCGGCGAGGGGAGUGAAAAAGAACCUGAAACCGUGUACGUACAAGCAGUGGGAGCACAGGUUUACCUGUGUGACUGCGUACCUUUUGUAUAAUGGGUCAGCGACUUAUAUUCUGUAGCAAGGUUAACCGAAUAGGGGAGCCGGAGGGAAACCGAGUCUUAAU
rnacentral:rRNA from 6 species